rnacentral:lncRNA from 1 species
GCAUAAUUCACUUGGUCGGUGUUCAGGUCGUUUAAAAGGUUACACUCUGCUUAUUUGUGUCCUUUAGAUCCACAGAGUUCGCACUCUGUGUGGACUACUACUACGGUGUUAGUGUUCGUAGACAUAUGUUCAAUCCUAAGGGCUAAAGCGUCCAUUUUCGCCUGCAUCAUGUCUAGAGAGCUUAUCUCAUGUAUUCCACCUUGGGUCUCCUUUUUCU